AGAGUUUGAUCAUGGCUCAGAACGAACGCUGGCGGCGUGGAUAAGACAUGCAAGUCGAACGGAUUUUCUGGUGUAGCAAUACAUCGGGGAGUUAGUGGCGCAAGGGUGAGUAACACGUGGGCAACCUGCCCGGAAAUGGGGGAUAGCCCGCCGAAAGGCGGAUUAAUACCGCAUAUGACAAGGGAUGGCAUCAUUCCGAAGUCAAAGUUGGUGAAAGCUAACGUUUCCGGAUGGGCCCGCGGCCUAUCAGCUAGUUGGCGGGGUAACGGCCCACCAAGGCAAUGACGGGUAGCUGGUCUGAGAGGACGACCAGCCACACUGGAACUGAGACACGGUCCAGACACCUACGGGUGGCAGCAGUCGAGAAUUUUUCUCAAUGGGCGAAAGCCUGAAGGAGCGACGCCGCGUGGAGGAUGAAGGUCUUCGGAUUGUAAACUCCUGUCAUGAGGGAGCAAGACACUGCGUUAACUGCGUGGGUGUUUGAUAGUACCUCAAGAGGAAGAGACGGCUAACUCUGUGCCAGCAGCCGCGGUAAUACAGAGGUCUCAAGCGUUGUUCGGAUUCAUUGGGCGUAAAGGGUGCGUAGGCGGCUAGGUAAGUCAGAUGUGAAAUUCCGGGGCUCAACCUCGGAACUGCAUUUGAUACUGCUUGGCUAGAGUACUGGAAAGGAGACUGGAAUUUACGGUGUAGCAGUGAAAUGCGUAGAUAUCGUAAGGAAGGCCAGUGGCGAAAGCGAGUCUCUGGACAGUAACUGACGCUGAUGCACGAAGGCUAGGGGAGCAAACGGGAUUAGAUACCCCGGUAGUCCUAGCAGUAAACGGUGCACGUUUGGUGUGGGAGGAAUCGACCCCUUCCGUGCCGGAGCUAACGCGUUAAACGUGCCGCCUGGGGAGUACGGUCG
rnacentral:rRNA from 1 species